GACGAACGCUGGCGGCGUGCUUAACACAUGCAAGUCGAACGAUGAAGCUGGAGCUUGCUCCGGUGGAUUAGUGGCGAACGGGUGAGUAACACGUGAGCAAUCUGCCCUUGACUCUGGGAUAACUGCGGGAAACUGUAGCUAAUACCGGAUACUUUCGCCGGAAGGCAUCUUCUGGUGAAGAAAGAAUUUCGGUCAAGGAUGAGCUCGCGGCCUACCAGCUUGUUGGUGAGGUAACGGCUCACCAAGGCGACGACGGGUAGCCGGCCUGAGAGGGUGACCGGCCAAACUGGGACGGAGACACGGCCCAGACUCCUACGGGGGGCAGCAGUGGGGAAUAGUGCACAAUGGGCGCAAGCCUGAUGCAGCCACGCCGCGUGAGGGAUGAAGGCCUUCGGGUUGUAAACCUCUUUUAGCAGGGAAGAAGCGAAAGUGACGGUACCUGCAGAAAAAGCACCGGCUAACUACGUGCCAGCAGCCGCCGUAA
rnacentral:rRNA from 1 species